UACGGGGGCAAGCGUUGUUCGGAAUUACUGGGCGUAAAGGGCUCGUAGGUGGCCAACUAAGUCAGACGUGAAAUCCCUCGGCUUAACCGGGGAACUGCGUCUGAUACUGGAUGGCUUGAGUUUGGGAGAGGGAUGCGGAAUUCCAGGUGUAGCGGUGAAAUGCGUAGAUAUCUGGAGGAACACCGGUGGCGAAGGCGGCAUCCUGGACCAACACUGACACUGAGGAGCGAAAGCCAGGGAGCAAACGGG
rnacentral:rRNA from 1 species